rnacentral:lncRNA from 1 species
AAAAAUGCUUUUAGGGGCUGUGUGAGGGAAUAAUUCCCCCUUUUUUUAAAAAAUUUUUGGCACAUGGAAUUUCAGUUUCCUAUAAAUAGAAUCCUCCCCAUCAAUCCUUAGAGAGAUUUUCAGACCCUGAAAACCCUUCUAAAAUUCGGCUUUACUAUUUUACUAGUUGAUCUUCAUUUUCAAUGUUUUUACCUAAAGUUAGAACAAUUUCUUUUUUCUUCUCCUUGGGCAAUUUCUGGUCUUCUAAAUCAAGAUAUGGGUUGAUUUUGAAGUUGUUCUAGUUUUAUUUCAGCUUUGUGUUCUUGCUAUUGAUUCUCCUCAGAAGUUUAGAAAUUUAUUUUCUCUUUCAUUUACUUUUGCUUCUUUAAGGUAUACUUUGAUGAACUUUGUAUGAUUUUGAACUUAAUACAAUCGAUUGGGCUUGAGAUAUAUGAAUUUCAUAUGUUUGUUAUGCUUAUAUAAGGUUAUUCCUUUUUGAAAAUCCGUUGGGUAUGGAAUUAUUGAAUAAAAUGUUGACUCCAUGAUUAUGACUAAAAACAUAUGUGUUAAUUGUGGUAACUGCUAGAUCCAUGCGGUUGUGUGUUUAGGCCAAAGUAUAUAUUUAAGUCCGCUUUUUUUUCGAGAAAUUUCCAUCUGAUGACCCUGUAUUUAGCCUACUGUUAAUCAACUUUAUUUAAGAGUUACUUGAAAAUUUGAAGUUGCUGUCACUUAACAUGGAGUCACUUUAGCACUGUUUUAGCUAAAUUAUUGCCUGAUUAUAGUUUGCAAAGUCUAUGUGAAGGCUUUGAUGCCUGCUUCUAUAACUUUGCUUACCAGUUGGUCAAAUUUAGUGGUUGACUAUCUCAGGUUCAUUGAAGAUUUGGAAUGAAUUAAAACGAGCACAUGUCUGCCAGCGAUAUUUCAUUUUCCCUUUGUAUUUAAAGAUUAAAAUAGUUAUAGCGUUUUGAAUUGAGAGAAUGAGAUUAAUUUUCUUAGUUGUGUAAUCAUAUGUCUUUUUCUUGAGGUUGUACAUGUAUAUGUCUUUUUCUUUAUUCGUUUCAUUUGCAUUUGUUGUAGAAUUCCGUUCUUCUUCAAAGAAGAAAUAUUAAGAUAUUUAUCAAAAGCAAUAGUUAGGUUAUCGUUUAUUAGCUUGGUUGGGUUUUGUAGUCAUCAGGUUUAAGUUGUUGAAUGAGAAGAUGCAUCCCAUUUUUAUAC